rnacentral:rRNA from 1 species
AAUCAACGCUGGCGGCGUGCCUAACACAUGCAAGUCGAACGCGACUGGGGACUUCGGUUCCCAGUUGAGUGGCGAACGGGUGAGUAACACGUGGGUGACCUGCCCUCAGCUCUGGGAUAAGCCUGGGAAACUGGGUCUAAUACUGGAUAUGACUCCACGGUGCAUGUCGUGGGGUGGAAAGCCUUGUGCGGCUGAGGAUGGGCCCGCGGCCUAUCAGCUUGUUGGGGGGUGAUGGCCUACCAAGGCGACGACGGGUAGCCGGCCUGAGAGGGCGACCGGCCACACUGGGACUGAGACACGGCCCAGACUCCUACGGGAGGCAGCAGUGGGGAAUCUUGCGCAAUGGGCGAAAGCCUGACGCAGCGACGCCGCGUGAGGGAUGACGGCCU